AAUUUCUUUCUCUUAAAUUUUGAUUUCCUUUUUCAUCCAUGAUUUACUAUAGAUAUUCCCUUCAAAUUCAUCAUUCAAUAUCUCGCUGCUGCCCUUCGAUUCCUCCUCAGUCUCUCCACCGGCUGGAGGUCGCUGCUGCCCUCCGCUUGGUCCCCAACCUGGUCGUCGCCUCCCUGCUGGAGUAAACAAACACCACAGCGGCUCCCACGCGCCUGGCGAGCGUCUCAUGGGCAUGGUGCAAGACUGCAAGAAACCAGAAGAACAGCCGAGCCCAAGUUGAAAAGAAUAGCGAACAACAGGUAUGUAAUGUAAAGAAGUUUAUGCUUGAUGCAUCAUAUUACAAUAACUGAUAUUAACAUUGAUAUAUCAUAAAUCAUAGGAAAUCAUAUUGGGUGUAUUGUGUUCUACCUUCAAUUUAUAGAAUGACAACUACACAUAUUUCCUUU